rnacentral:lncRNA from 1 species
UGACAUUUCCUAACUUGAUUUGUCUAGAACCAAGAUCUUUAUAUGAGCCAGGCUGAGGAGACAAAGUCUGGGAUUUGUAGUUAUCAAGUGGUAAUUGGAGAAGAGGACACAUGAAGAGGAAUCAGAUGCAAUGAAAGGGAACAGCGGAGCUGAUAUAUAACAAAGUACACUGGACCUGGUUUCUGCAUUCCAGUAUGCAUAGGAUUCAGAACACUAAAGAAGGACAUGGGAACCAGGAGGAUGGCUCAGCUCAUGACCAUGAGUGAUGUGCAAGUCCAAUGAUCCAAGUUUAGUUCCUGGAACUCACAGGAGAAAAAGAUCAUGGAGCUGCAGUCCUGAAAGUGGAG